AGUGAACGCUGGCGGUAGGCCUAACACAUGCAAGUCGAACGGCAGCACAGUAAGAGCUUGCUCUUACGGGUGGCGAGUGGCGGACGGGUGAGGAAUACAUCGGAAUCUACUUUUUCGUGGGGGAUAACGUAGGGAAACUUACGCUAAUACCGCAUACGACCUACGGGUGAAAGCAGGGGAUCUUCGGACCUUGCGCGAUUGAAUGAGCCGAUGUCGGAUUAGCUAGUUGGCGGGGUAAAGGCCCACCAAGGCGACGAUCCGUAGCUGGUCUGAGAUGAUGAUCAGCCAAACUGGAACUGAGACACGGUCCAGACUCCUACGGGAGGCAGCAGUGGGGAAUAUUGGACAAUGGGCGCAAGCCUGAUCCAGCCAUACCGCGUGGGUGAAGAAGGCCUUCGGGUUGUAAAGCCCUUUUGUUGGGAAAGAAAAGCAGCAGGUUAAUACCCCGCUGUUCUGACGGUACCCAAAGAAUAAGCACCGGCUAACUUCGUG
rnacentral:rRNA from 1 species